GACGAACGCUGGCGGCGUGCUUAACACAUGCAAGUCGAACGCUGAAGACCUGGCUUUUGUUGGGUUGGAUGAGUGGCGAACGGGUGAGUAACACGUGAGUAACCUGCCCUCUUCUUUGGGAUAACUCCCGGAAACGGGUGCUAAUACUGGAUAUUCACUUAACUUCGCAUGGGGGUUGGUGGAAAGGGUUUUUCUGGUGGGGGAUGGGCUCGCGGCCUAUCAGCUUGUUGGUGGGGUAAUUGCCUACAAAGGGUUUGACGGGUAGGAGGCCGGGGAGGGUGACAGGGCAAAUUGGGAAUGAGACAGGGCCCAGAGUGAUACAGGAGGAGGCAAUGGGGAAUAUUGGACGAUGGGCGAAAGCAUGAUGCAGGGGCGCGGGGUGAGGGAUGGAGGAUUGUGGGUUGUAAACAUCUGUCGAGAACGGUCGAGCAGGAACUGUGGGUUGUGGUGACGGUAGUGGGUAAAGAAGCGACGGCUAACUACGUG
rnacentral:rRNA from 1 species